UCCGGCUUAUAGCUCGGCAGUCUCACUAGAGUCCCCAACUUAAUGAUGGUAACUAGUGACGAGGGUUGCGCUCGUUGCGGGACUUAACCCAACAUCUCACAACACGAGCUGACGACAGCCAUGCAGCACCUGUCACCGCGUCCCCGAAGGGAACCUCUGGUUUCCCAGAGUAGCGCGGGAUGUCAAGCCCAGGUAAGGUUCUUCGCGUAGCAUCGAAUUAAACCACAUGCUCCACCGCUUGUGCGGGCCCCCGUCAAUUCCUUUGAGUUUUAAUCUUGCGACCGUAAUUCCCAGGCGGGAUACUUAAUGCGUUAGCUACGUCACCGAGUCUAUUAGGAAACCCGACGACUAGUAUCCAUCGUUUAGGGCGUGGACUAC
rnacentral:misc_RNA from 1 species